UCCCGUGUGGCUCAGUUGGUGGAGCAUGGUGUUUGCAACGCCAGGGUUGUGGGUUCGAUUCCCACGGGGGGAC
rnacentral:tRNA from 1 species